rnacentral:rRNA from 1 species
ACGCACGCUGGCGGCGUGCCUAAUACCUGCAAGUAGAACGCACAGUUUAUACCGUAGCUUGCUACACCAUAGACUGUGAGUUGCGAACGGGUGAGUAACGCGUAGGUAACCUGCCUGGUAGCGGGGGAUAACUAUUGGAAACGAUAGCUAAUACCGCAUAAUAUUAAUUAUUGCAUGAUAAUUAAUUGAAAGGUGCAAUUGCACCACUACCAGAUGGACCUGCGUUGUAUUAGCUAGUAGGUGAGGUAACGGCUCACCUAGGCGACGAUACAUAGCCGACCUGAGAGGGUGAUCGGCCACACUGGGACUGAGACACGGCCCAGACUCCUACGGGAGGCAGCAGUAGGGAAUCUUCGGCAAUGGACGAAAGUCUGACCGAGCAACGCCGCGUGAGUGAAGAAGGUUUUCGGAUCGUAAAGCUCUGUUGUAAGAGAAGAACGGGUGUGAGAGUGGAAAGUUCACACUGUGACGGUAUCUUACCAGAAAGGGACGGCUAACUACGUG